GACCUUUCCAAAUCUAUAUAAUGUCGCCCUUUCUCUUCUGCCUCGACCUCUACGAGUUUCUUCUUCCAGCUUUAAUACGAAUAUACUCUUCCUUGUCUGUACCUGAGAUCUUCUCAAAGCAGUUAUUACUUUUCUCAGUCUGAGAAGAUUCCCGGAACUAACAGGGCGAUUUGAUCUCAAACCAAUGGAAAUGGUGUAUCGAUCCUAUUCACAAGCUGUAGCGAACACUGAAUUACAAAUUCAAGCUUUCAAAACCCUAAACCUAAAGAGUAUGAACACGAGUUCAUCGCCUAAAAAGCCCUAACCCUCUUCAGUUUCCAUUUUCUCCUCUUCGUUUCCCUUUCUCUUUCCCAAAUCGCAUCCUGCUGCUGUGCUGCGUCUCCCAUCGGAGAGUCUUGAACCACUCCUUUCUCAAUCGGCGCCUUCACUUGGAGUCUCGAACCUCUCCUUUCGCAGUCGGCGCCACCACUCGGAGAGUCUCGAACCACUCCUUUCUCAGUCGAAAAGGGUUCGGCAUGCACGGCUUCUGCCUCUGGUAAGUCUCUCUAUCUCAGCUCAUUUCAUGUUAAUUUUGGUUCUCGACCAAAAUUUUAGGCCUAAGCGUUCAGUAUUUUCUGGGUUAUAAUUGUUUUCCCUUUGAUCUUCAAGUCUACCAUUUUCUGAUAAUUUCCAUAUCUAUGCUUCUUGUGUAUUGAUCUCUGGUUAGAAAUUGGAUUUGCUUCUCAAUUAAACCAGGCGAACGCUUAAGAACCCUUAUUUCCUCAAACAAAACCGUUUAAGGACUGUUUUCCUCAAUCCGGUUACUAAGCCGACAAUGAAACAGUUUGAAAUUUGGAAACUGCAACUGUUUUCUACUGAACCAAAACUGUUUAAUUAACUAUUGAUUUGGAUUCUGAUCGGAUUUUGCUCAUGGCCAAUAUUUAGAAUCAAUUGUUCAUCAUAUUCCUUUAUCUGAGAUUUAAUACCCAUAUCCUAAUGCGAGUAGAUUUAAUUCAUAUUCUCAGUUCCAGCCUUUGGAUUGAGUUGGGAUUUUCAGCAAUUGAUCUAUACCUUGUUUACAGAACUCGAUUGUCCGAUUUACUUUUAUUGUCUAUUCUCCUAAUCUGGGUUCUUACUCCGAGAAAAAGUCAUAUUUUGCUACUGGUUUGAUUAUUCUGUUACGGUUCUACAUUAUCAAGCCGAGGCAUUGGGAUAACCAAUUUACAUCAUGAUUUAAAAUAUGUAAUAAGGAAUGGAUAAGUUCAGCCAAUUCAUGUUAUAUACAACAUUUAAUUAUCAUCCUAAUCUAGUGUGUAGUUGAUACAUGAUUUUCUGUAAUAUAGUGUAUGAUUUGCCAAAACACCAUUGUUCUUCUUAUUCGACAUAUUUGGUUGUGGACUUUUCCUAAAACAGGAAUUUGUCAGAAACAUUCAAAUGCUUAACAAGAGAAGAGAUGGGAGUUAACUAUUUCCUAAUGCUUUUGACACAAGAAGCAAAAUAUAGAAGGCUAUAUACUAUGGGAUCAACGAUUUACCAGAGUACCAGGAAUGUUACAUGAGGCAUCAUUUUUUGUUGUAUAGUUUUAAAGGAUCGAUGAGAGGAAAAGGUUAUAAAAAGAAAAUAAAAGUGAAGAAGAGGUAAAGAAGAUGGGUGUUCCGUUUUUCGCAAAUCGAGUGACAUCCACUUGAAUUAACUCAAAGCUUACUAUCUUCAUUUUUCCUCAUUCCGUAUUUUUCUUUUUUAUUCCCUACCCACCUUCCCUAUUCAUUCCUUCGGGCCUUUCCUUUUCCUAUUUAUUUCUUAUCCACCCCUUUCCCUUUUUCUUCCAAACUCAUCCCUUCGCCUUUCACUUUUUUCGUUGCUUCUCUUAAAAUGAAAUUUCAACAUGAUAUACACUAAUAUUUCAGAUACUUUUUCAGAUACUACAUUCUAAAUACAAGCCACAACUUGAAAUUGAAUUAACUCCAAGUUGGUGAUUCAUAUAUUUUUUUUAAUGGUUAUAAUUCAUAAAUAGUUUCCUAUUUUGCAUGUCAGAAGCUCAACUAAUGUAGAAUUAGCAUUAGUUUAUCUCUUCGCAUAUAUUUUUAAUCUUCUUUAAAACAAAUUAUUGGUUAUUAUUCUUAAUGAUAUAAGGAUUGCUAGGGGUUAUUUCAAUCUUUUAUGAUCAUUGCUGGCAAUAUCACUUUCUUCAUAGGCCACAACUUUCUACCCAUAGGCUUAUGUGGAUGCUGUUUUAGCUGUUCUAUCCAUUGGAUAGGUAUGUUCUUUGAAUUGGCCAUGUCAAAGUUUCAGGAUUCAUAUCAAGAUUUGACCCACCACGAAGUCCUUUCGACCCCAUAAAUAACAGUAGAACCAAGGUUUGUGUAAAGAGAAUUUCAAAGUUAAAUUAUAUCCAACUCUUUUUGUGGCUAUGCCCUUUUUAUAUUGUAAUCAAAAUGCUUUUUUUUUUUUGUAAUAUAGCCUUUGCUUUUAUUUGCAGUGUAAUAUUUGGGCUCAUGUGGAUGAUACAUCAUUAGUGUGGUGUGCAUAUAAAUAAAUUUUUAAUGACUAAACACUCUUCUAAGAGGGAAAAGGGCAAUCAAGAAUCCAAGAUACCGAGGAAAAUGACAAAGUACCAAAAAGGCCUAUGCCUCUUACAUUGAAGGAUGGUAAAAGUUUUAAAUUUGAAUCUUUCAAGAGCUAAAGAAUGCUUGGUUCUUUGUUAAAAAAUAUACGGAAGGAAGAAAGAAUGCUUGUUUUUGUGUCAAGGCACAUAGGGUGCGAAAAGAUUAUGCUAUUUUUGUGUUGAAGAUUCUUGUGCCAAUCCUCCCAUUAGUUGUCGGGGCUGUUUUGUAUCUACACAUGCAUAAUUGUCUAAUUGACGGUUCCCCUAUAAUCUCUCUUUCUUC